AAUUUUUAAUAAUAAAAUAUUAAUAUAUUUUUAUUAAUAUAAAAAUAUAAAAAUUAAUUAGAAAAUUUAUUAUUUUAUUUUAUUUUUGUCAAAAGAUGUGUCUAUUUGUACUUAAACAGAAAGUUGUGAGUUAAUUGGGACAAACUUAAAAAUAGGUUUAUUUACAUGUGGACUAAAAGCUCAGGGACAAAAUUUGAGCUUUCUUCCAAUUUUUUUUGAUUAAGUUUUGACAUAGUAUGUAAAAUGUUUAAUCUCUUGAAAAUGGAUUUAGUAGUCUGUUAAAUGAUUUAAUCUCUUAACAAGGGAUUUAUUUUCCCUUCAGUCCAGAAAAUGCUUUCUGUAAAACAAGAGUUGCCUUAGUUUGAGUAUUCUUUUUUCACAAGGGCUAUAAUUUUAAUUUUGGAAUGCACCCGUCAAGAAGAAAGCACAUUCGAGAAAAUGGAAGGUUGUAAAAGACUAAAAGUUGGCUGCCAUUGUAGUUGUAGAUUUUGCAUGCAAUAGUUAAAUAAAAGAAUUCUUCCCUUAACCUCUUCUGUGAAUAGGAAAGAAACACAUUAUGUAAUGGAAGAGUAUCAAUGGGGAUUAUUUGGGAUUGGGAUAACCACACCCAAGUCCUUAUAUAUAUGGUUCAGUUCAAUAACAUCGGACAAAUGCCAUAAUGUGUGCAAUUUUCGACCGAGCUGAUUGUGUUGCUUGUGGUUUUGCAGG
rnacentral:misc_RNA from 1 species